UACGUAGGGUGCAGGCGUUAAUCGGAAUUACUGGGCGUAAAGCGUGCGCAGGCGGCUACUCAAGUCAGAUGUGAAAUCCCCGGGCUUAACCUGGGAACUGCGUUUGAAACUGGGUGGCUAGAGUGCGGCAGAGGGGGGUGGAAUUCCACGUGUAGCAGUGAAAUGCGUAGAUAUGUGGAGGAACACCGAUGGCGAAGGCAGCCCCCUGGGCCUGCACUGACGCUCAUGCAAGAAAGCGUGGGGAGCAAACAGGAGGAGAUACCCCAGUAGUCC
rnacentral:rRNA from 1 species